GACGAACGCUGGCGGCGUGCCUAAUACAUGCAAGUCGAACGAACCGCGACUAAGUGCUUGCACUAAGUCAAGGUGAGUGGCGAACGGGUGAGUAACACGUGGGUAACCUACCUCAUAGUGGGGGAUAACAGUCGGAAACGACUGCUAAUACCGCAUAGGACAUAGGAUCACAUGAUCCAGUGAGGAAAGGUGGCGCAAGCUAUCGCUAAGAGAUGGACCCGCGGUGCAUUAGCUAGUUGGUAGGGUAAAGGCCUACCAAGGCGAUGACGCAUAGCCGACCUGAGAGGGUGAUCGGCCACAUUGGGACUGAGACACGGCCCAAACUCCUACGGGAGGCAGCAGUAGGGAAUCUUCCGCAAAGGACGCAAGUCUGACGGAGCAACGCCGCGUGAGUGAAGAAGGUCUUCGGAUCGUAAAGCUCUGUUGUUAGAGAAGAACAGCGCAUAGAGUAACUGCUAUGCGUGUGACGGUAUCUAACCAGAAAGCCACGGCUAACUACGUG
rnacentral:rRNA from 1 species